CUUGGUCAUUUAGAGGAAGUAAAAGUCGUAACAAGGUCUCCGUUGGUGAACCAGCGGAGGGAUCAUUACAGAGUUUACGAUAAAAACUCCCAAACCCCUUGUGAACCUACUUUUUUUGUUUGUUGCCUCGGCAGGCACUGAGGGCCUCCCGUUAAGGGAGGUCAGCCUGGCCUGCCGGCGGUCUACGACACGAAUUUUGCUUAGCACGUGGUUAUUCUGAUCAGUUAAGACAUAAUAUCUUAAAACUUUCAACAACGGAUCUCUUGGUUCUGGCAUCGAUGAAGAACGCAGCGAAAUGCGAUAAGUAAUGUGAAUUGCAGAAUUCAGUGAAUCAUCGAAUCUUUGAACGCACAUUGCGCCCAUUAGUAUUCUAGUGGGCAUGCCUGUUCGAGCGUCAUUUCAACCCUUAAGCCCCCGUCGCUUAGUGUUGGGAGCCUAUAAGUCCUUUUGGGCCUAUAGCUCCCCAAAGUCAGUGGCAGAGUCGGUUCACACUCUAGGCGUAGUAAAAUUAUUUCUUUCCUCGCCUGACGUAUGAGCUGGUCCCUCGCCGUAAAACAAUAUACAUAUCAAAAAGGUUGACCUCGGAUCAGGUAAGAAUACCCGCUGAACUUAAGCAUAUCAAUAAGCGGAGGA
rnacentral:rRNA from 1 species